AGCAACAGGAUAUAGAUCACUCUGUGAGGUUCAGGACCUUGGGAAAAUACAGUAUCCUAGAGACAGCAUUAACACAAGGCACGACUCAAGGCCGCUCCUGUCAUCUACACCCCUCCCGCUCUGCACGGCUGACUCAGAGCCUCCUGGCCUGCGGAGGAGCAAGAGGCACUGCACAGGCCACAGCGGGUUGUGAUCCAGGAGAGGCCAUUGGUUGGGGCGGGGGGAUGUUAAUUCCUCUGAGGUUGUGGGCAGGGGAGAUUUUCUUGGAGGACAUUCAUUUCCCAGUGGGGAGGGAAGAUUGAGACUAUAAUGUCUCUAGGGAAAUUUAAUAAUUAAGGAAGGUCCACAUGAUGGAACUGUGGGCCAUUUUCUAUUUCAGGCCUUAUGGUUAUUUUGCCUUUACCAUAGGGCGGUGCUUAUCACCAGCAAGACUGACCAACAAACCAGCUGUGGAGGGAAAUUGAGAGUGGGCUCCCUGCUGAAGACAGUAGACAUGGCCAUCAAUUAAUGUCCUGUUUUCUCCCGUGCAGAGCCUCUCAGGGCCAAAGCUGGAUUGUACCGGGCUGGGAAAACAAAAAAUAAAUACAUGGGGAGAGAAUGUUGAGGGGUGACUUGCUAACCAGUCAGUUGAAUUCCAGGCACAGAUUGAGUUGCUUCUGGAGUGGGCAGGGUCACUGUGAACGCCUACGUGAGCCUCUUCUGCACCACACAGCAGAAACUUAUUGAAAUUGGCAUCUUUGGGAGCUCGCUGUCAUCUCUUCACAAAACAUCCCCACGGAAAGCCAAACUUUCCCUUAGCAAGCGUGGCAACGUCCCAGAGUGCAGCCUGGAUCCCGUCAAGGAUAUCACAUGAUACUUCCUUGUCAUGUUUCCUUAGGCUCAUCUUGACUGUCCAUUUCUCAGACCUUCCUUGAUUUUGGUGACCUUGACAAUGUUGAGGAACAGUGGUCAGGCAAAUUCCAGGCUCCUUUGGAAGAAUGACAAUGCUACAGAAAAGCACAUGGAUUUGCAGCUUCGUGGACAUCACCUGUGAGGGUGACAGCUCUUUACUCUCAGUGAGUUCCCCAGAUGGAGGAAAGUGAAGCCAGGCUUACUGAGGAAAAAAAACAACCCUCAGAAAUCAAAAUCAGACAGCUAUACCCGGUCUGGCUGCCCCAGAGCGGGAAGACCUGAACCUUGGCAGGGCUGGCUGCUGUGCUGACCAGUCUGAUAUCAAGAAGAGAAGUGAUUUUCCGAUCCUGCAUCCGGUACAGCUGUGCGGACUCUGCUCUUCCUGCCAUUCC
rnacentral:lncRNA from 1 species